UCUCUUUAACCUCUCCUCCCUCAAUUUUCCACCGGGGAUUCUGGUCGGUUUCUCCUCUUCCAGCCCCUCCAUGAAAUCCUCUCCCUCCUUUCCUCUCCUCCAUCACCCCAAGCGGAACUCACCACUUUCUCGCUCCUCGGGGGUAAGGCCGAAGAAACCCACCAGCCCGCUGCCCCCUGCCCACGUGGCAAACCGGGUGCCCUCAUCCCCUCCCUCCUUCUACCGAGGAAAAUCCCACGUGCUCUCCCGGUGCCCAAUCGCGGGAAUCCACCUCCUCGUCCCCUCUUCGUUUCUCCCCAUCCUCUUCUCACCUCCCCAUUCUUCCCACCGGUCCCGAUUUCUCCAGGCUGGGGUGAGGGGGCGGGAAUCCUGCACCAAGGUGCCAGGUCCCAGUUCUCACCUGUCCCUGUGAAAAUGGGGCUCCAAUGACAGCCACGGAGUGGACGGACUUCUUCGGGACUGAGCGCGCUUGCUUACGGAGAAGAAGCGAGAGGCUGCUCCUCAGGGACAUGAUGGGCAGCGCAGGACGUAGACUAGCGAGAGGCUGCUACGUGCGGCUCGCCGCCUGGGGUGAGCACCGCAGCCUGCAGUGGUUACCUACCGGCGCGCGAGCCGCACCCCACCGCGCCGACCCAUGACGUCACCGCCGCCUCGCCCCGCCCAGGCCCCGCCGCCUCGCCCCCAACCAGCCCCCGGCACACCUUCCGGCAAGCCCCGCCCACUGCCGCUCAGUGCCCCGAACGCCCUCGCUGAUGUCACUCGGCUCUGGCCCAGGCUCUCCGGCCAAGGACAAGCCCCUGCCGCUGACGCCACAGGGCCAAGAUCCGGGCCCGGCCAAUAAGAGUGCGGUCACGGACAGGUGUGUCCCUUGGCGGGAAGCGGUCGGCUCCCGCAAAAUUCGCGAACUCAGCGGAACAAGCGAACGGACACGUAGGCUCGCGGAUGGUGGCUGUCUUCACACAGAGGCACGCCGGGCAGAUGCCUAUUUUACGGAACGGCUGGCUGGGCUGGACUUGGCCCAACCCCACGUUAUUACAAGAUAUUGAAUACAGUUCCCUGUGCUAUCCAGGAGGACCUUGUUUAUCAGCUCCUAAAAUCCUUGUAAUUUCUUAAGUGAUAAGAGCACGAAGAGCAUCUUUUGUUCUAAUAUUUGGUCUUUGACUUGGUUCCUGACACAAAGUUCCUAAACUCUUUGGGAUUUCCUGGUUGACAGCAGUGUCUUCUGUUCUAAUGAGGUGACUCUUGGUGGGAUCCUGGAUGGUGGCUGAUCACCAGAAAGACCAAGACAUGAUUAGAAGCCUGGGAUUUUCACCUCCUACCCCCACCAUCCCAUUCUCCAGAGAGGGAAGAGUGGCUGGAAAUGGACAUAAUGAUUGAUCAUGCCUACAUGAUGAAGCCUCUAUAAAAAUUCCAAAAGUACGGCGCUGGGAGAGUGUCCGGAUUGGUGAAUCCUCCCCAUACCGGGAGGUUGAUGCAUGCCUACUCUACGGGGACAGAAACUCCUGCACUCAGGACCCUCCCAGACCUUGCCCUCUACAUCUCUUCAUCUGGCUAUUCAUCUAUAUCAUUUAUCAUAUCCUUUAUUAGAUAAUAAACUGGUAAACAUGUUUCCCUGAA